UUACUAUUCUAGUGACUUUUAUUGAUAGUAACUCCGAGAAACUCAAUCAUAUUUAGUGAUUGACAUUAUUGUAAUUGACUUGUAGGUUGGAGAACACAUUGACAGAGAUUGCCAGUCUGACCCAGCAGUGGCAAAGAGAAAGGCCUAUCUUAAUAGAUGUUCUGUCAAAGGAUGUAAACAAAAAGAGCUUAUUCCUGUUAGAUGUGAGUCAUGUCGGCAAAACUUUUGCUUAAAACACAGACAUGAGCAAGAUCAUAGUUGCUCUGCAGUUGUACGAGGAAGUUCUGGGAGGUUCGUUUUCUCUCUGUUAAAGAUUAAUAAAUAUCUUGAUUUCAUUGUUAUUAGCA